ACGUCCGGACUGGUGUCGACAGGGAGGGAAAACCCAAGGUUCUGGUCCUUUUCUCUACUCUUCCUUUUGCCUGUAACUUUGGGUCAGGUACUGGAAUUUGGGCCCCAAUUUCCUUGCACAAAGGCAGAACCAAAUAGACGAAGCUUCACAGAUGCCCCAGAAAUGACCAUUAUCCACAGACUGCAGAGACUCUCCAGUAUCCAUGUGAAGACGUUUCAAAACAUCACCGUGGAGUCUAGGCCUGCCAUCUAUGGAUCCUGACCAGUGUUACAGAAACACAGACUAGUGAACCUGUUAGUGUUAAGAGGUAGUUUGAGACACAAGAUUGCUUUUAAUCCCCCCUCCUCCCAGUGCCCGGGAUCAUAGCUAGGGUCUCAGACAUGCUAAGCAAGCACUCUACCACAGAGCUCCAAGUUCAGACCCCCCAGGCCCCUGCAAAGGAUUGAUGUUGAUGGACAUUCAGACCAUUCUUCCCGUGACAAAUAGGAUGUGGGGGGAUGUGGAGGCAAACCUGGUGAAGGAAGAAAUGAGACGGAGAACAAGGCACCCCAAGCUCCUACGACCCCUUAAAGAGUCCUGAUCCAGUGUCCACAGUGUAUGAUCUGACUUGCUCCGGGCGUACCCGUGAGACAACACAAAGAACCUGAGGCCAGAGCAGUGGCUGCUUUGCUUGUCUUCAUGGAAAUCUCCCUGGGGGAUCGGGGAUCGGACUCUCUCCUGCAGGCUCGUGGUCAGGUGAGUCAGAUUCUGCUAAACAACAAUAGUUACACUCUGAUUUGGCCUUGAAUACAUAAACAUACCCAAAUUGGCUAAAAAGCUACAUAUAAGCUCAUGUAAUAAACAAUAAAGUUAGAUCUGCACUCUGAUGCUCGGCUCCGGAGUCUGAAUCCAGGGCUUCGUUGUGGGCGCCAUCUCCACU